rnacentral:rRNA from 1 species
GGAUUAGAUACCCGGGUAGUCCACGCCGUAAACGAUGCAUGCUAGACGUCGGCAGGUUUUCCUGCCCGUGUCGCAGCUAACGCAUUAAGCAUGCCGCCUGGGGAGUACGGCCGCAAGGUUGAAACUCAAAUGAAUUGACGGGGGCCCGCACAAGCGGUGGAGUAUGUGGUUUAAUUCGACGCAACGCGAAGAACCUUACCAGCCUUUGACAUGUCCAUUAUGGAUCGUAGAGAUAUGAUCCUUCACUUCGGGUGGGUGGAACACAGGUGCUGCAUGGCUGUCGUCAGCUCGUGUCGUGAGAUGUUGGGUUAAGUCCCGCAACGAGCGCAACCCUCAUCUUCAGUUGCCCCCGGGUUAGGCCGGGCACUCUGAAGAAACCGCCGGUGACAAG